rnacentral:lncRNA from 1 species
CAUGAUUAUAACAAACUAUAACAUGCUAAUACAUUACGAGAAUGCAAAUCCCAAACAUGGGAUUCAAUUUAUUAUUUGUAACAUUAAUUUAAAACUGAAAUCGAGCUUUUACUUGUCGAUAUGAUCAUAUGUUCUUAAUUGGAAAUCGGUGGUGACAGAGCAGCAAAGGCGUCGAUCUGCUGGUUGGAGUUGAACCUCUUUGCUAGGUCCGAAGCAGUAAAAAAGAAGUACUCCAUGAAAUCAAAGUCUUUGUAAAGUUGAGGAUGUUGGUCAUCUAUAAGCUCUUUGGGUGUCUUGAUUAUGGUACCCUUGUUUGGAACGGCAAAAGCUGCUAUAGAAUAUCGAUCUUUAUCUCCACCCAUCAUCACUCUGUGCAUCCCCGAUUUCAAUCUCCCAUUACUCCAAGCCUUUAAUUUCAAAAAUCAACAUCAGUAAGUAUUUAUGAUAAUUAUUCACUUUCAACAUCAAUAAUCUAAUCUCACUAUAUCUAUAACCCAAUAUCUUAUGUCAACAUCAGUAAGUAUUUUAUGGUAACUAUUAAAUUAAACUUUUGUAAUCUAAUAAAUAUAGAUUGAGAAGAAAUGUUGUCCAAAGUUUGACCAGGACUUAAUUGAACUCAAGGCUCAGAGAUAGUGCCAGGGGACAAGGAAUUGCCCCCUCCACCCCCUCUCCACUUAAUUCUAACUUUUAUAUUUUUUAUUCUAUUCACAUAGGCCAUGCACGUAAAAUUUUGAAUAAAUACCUUGAAAGGGUCUCCAACCAUAAAUACAAAGGAAGAAGGAGAUAAAUUAGACAACCUCGACCAUUUGUCGUCCUUGACCUCAAUUUCCAACCCUGAAAUUUUAUCCUCGCAAAUGAGUGUGCUAAUUGGUUUAUCUGUAUGAGGAAAGAGUCCACUCUCAAA